GUACCGACCGAGGAGAACAGUUAGUAAUAUAUUUAUUAUAUCUUUACUGUGUCUGACGGGUUCGGGAAACGAUUACUAUUCACGCACGCGAAAAGGCAUUAAAUGACUCACGUCGAAAGCAAAUCGUUGCAAAUCAUAAGUCGAUGACACAUUUGAAACGCAAGUUUUAAACUUUUACUUGCUAUAAAAGUUUAGAACACAGCGAUAAAUCACGAAACAUUUUGGCAACAAAAACAGCUUUAAAUUUUUAGCACACCGUUCAGUAGAAUACGGCCUCCUAAACUGACUAAUCACGGCGCACGUUGUAUUUGAGAGGCAUUAUAAAACUCUUUAUGAAUCAGGUAGAAUUAUAGAGAGAAGUACCAUGACAUGCAGCUCCUUCACACUAGAACUUUUCAGUGUCAAGCUUCAUUUUCGUCAUUUGUUUUCUUUUUAAAUUACAGACAGAACCUCCUUUGAAGAAAUCUCAGUCGUCACCACCCGAGAGGGAACGCAGCAAACCACCUAGUGAUGCGAAGAUCGUGAGAGCAUAUUGAGAUAUGACCACUUCGAAAGGGGAUUUAACCAAAUGGAUCAGAAGUCGAAGGUACACAUUCACCUCAACAAGAGAGAGAUCGGAAGAUAAUUGUCCUAGCCUUCUCUCAUUCUCGGAGUCUGGAAAGGAAAAGUAAAUCGGAGAAUCAAACGUCAAGAGAAGAGUUUAAGGGUUAAGUGGAACUUGGUUUUACCUAGCUGGUUUCAUUCAAGAAAGCGUUUUCAUAGAAAACCAAUUAAAAGCAAUUUUGACAUUCGCAGCAUUACAUGGUGAUGAUGUCAUUCUAACAGAGCCGCUGUACAAACUUUCACCGGACCGUCUCCUCGAUCUGGGAGGACGUAAAAGCGCGCUAGGUUUAAUUUUUUACUGUGUGCAAAAGUGAUUAGUGAAGCAAAAAUAUUUCAUCUUUUUAUUUUCCAAAGGAAGAAACAUCACUAUAACCUUGGUAUAUUACUUCAUUUCUGUAAACAGCUGUUGUUAUGAUUUCUUUCGUUAAUAAGGAUAAUUAAAAACAUUAUCAUUUUCAUCUCUUGGUGCUCUUUUAUUGUGAAAGUUUAAAGGGCGUCUAUUUAACUAAUUUUCGAAAGAAACACAUUUCCCCACGAAAAGUGGCAAAGAAUAUUGAUUUGAGUAAUUUGGUCAAUUAAGUGUUCAUUUUUUCAGCGCUGAUUAACUACUUUAAGGUGAUUCCCUAGUAAAAGAACCCGCCAUAGAUUUCCGAUGAAACUUGGUGUGUUGUUGUUACAGGACAAGGAGAUAUUAAAACCGCAAUAAAAAGAGGUGGUCACCGUGUUUGUUUCCGCCACAAUGCUGACAAAUACGGUUAUUUAGGUGACUUUUGGUAAU